rnacentral:lncRNA from 1 species
GUCAUGACAUCAAACCUGUCAUCCCUUAUUUCUCCUGAGUCUGUUCCUCUGAAACCUCUAACUCAGACAUCCAUGACGAUUCCUCAAAGGUAAACUCACACACGCUUCUCCUAGCUAUGGUGGUGAACAAUGCUUCCUGAACAAGCGUCGCUCAACCUGUUCUACCAGAUUCUUCCUGCACAUUUUCCUCUGCUUUUGACCAGAAUCUCCAAGCAAACUCUAACCUUGAAUUGCCUUCUCCCAUGGUUUUUACUUGUCACUCACACGACCUCACCAGACUACUACAGAUUGUUACAAAAAAUUGUCAUUUGCUCCAACAUAUACCUGUGUAGGCCUUUACACAAUUUUCCAUUGCUCUAGUUCUUUCUACGUGGAGAUACAACAUGUUUCUAUCAACCAGAAACAUUACAUCUCAUGUACCCAAUAAGAUUCACUCAUAUUCUUGUGCUGACUCAAAACAGAAUGCCAUAUGUUUUGUCACAUUAUUGCCACAAGAAAUCAACAUGUGCUGCUACAAGCUCCAUUGUGAUCUUGAUCAUCCCUUGAGCUUCCUUUUAACCACAAGAACCUGAUCCUUAACCUCUCUGUGACCGAACCUGCAACCCUGCAACUCAAAUUUAAUUGAACCGGAUUUGAAGCCUCAAAGUACCAACACACUGUCUCGUUCCAAACCUGAUCAACGCCUCCUCACAUUGAACACUUCUCUGCAACUUUCUGUUCACACCUGAACCUUGGAACCACUGAUCAAAAUCCGAAUAGCCUCUGAACACACAUACCAUUUUCAACUUCUAAGGCGUCCCCUAGACCUGAGAUAACAGAGUGU